UUGAAACACCCGUUCCCGUACGAUCAGCGACGUUAAGCAACUUCGAGUCUGGUAUGUACUCAGAUGGGUGACUACUUGGGAAUUCCAGGUGCUGUAA